rnacentral:rRNA from 1 species
GACGAACGCUGGCGGCGUGCUUAACACAUGCAAGUCGAACGGAAAGGCCCUGCUUUUGUGGGGUGCUCGAGUGGCGAACGGGUGAGUAACACGUGAGUAACCUGCCCUUGACUUUGGGAUAACUUCAGGAAACUGGGGCUAAUACCGGAUAGGAGCUCCUGCUGCAUGGUGGGGGUUGGAAAGUUUCGGCGGUUGGGGAUGGACUCGCGGCUUAUCAGCUUGUUGGUGGGGUAGUGGCUUACCAAGGCUUUGACGGGUAGCCGGCCUGAGAGGGUGACCGGCCACAUUGGGACUGAGAUACGGCCAAGACUCCUACGAGAGGCGGCAGUGGGGAAUAUUGCACAAUGGGCGGAAGCCUGAUGCAGCAACGCCGCGUGCGGGAUGACGGCCUUCGGGUUGUAAACCGCUUUCGCCUGUGACGAAGCGUGAGUGACGGUAAUGGGUAAAGAAGCACCGGCUAACUACG